GAUGAAGAACGUAGCGAAACGCGAUAAGUAAUGUGAAUUGCAGAAUCCAGUGAAUCAUCGAAUCUUUGAACGCACAUUGCGCCCGCCAGCAUUCUGGCGGGCAUGCCUGUUCGAGCGUCAUUUCAACCCUCGACCUCCCCUUGGGGAGGUCGGCGUUGGGGACCGGCAGCACACCGCCGGCCCUGAAAUGGAGUGGCGGCCCGUCCGCGGCGACCUCUGCGCAGUAAUACAGCUCGCACCGGGACCCCGACGCGGCCACGCCGUAAAACACCUAACUUCUGAACGUUGACCUCGAAUCAGGUAGGACUACCCGCUGAACUUAAGCAUAUCAAUAAGCGGAGGA
rnacentral:misc_RNA from 1 species